UACGUAGGAGACGAGCGUUGUCCGGAAUUACUGGGCGUAAAGCGCGUGUAGGCGGCUGGGCAAGUCUGCUGUGAAAGCUCCUGGCUUAACCGGGAGUGGUCGGUGGAAACUGCCAAUCUGGAGGACGGUAGAGGUAGGUAGAAUUCCCGGUGUAGUGGUGAAAUUCGUAGAUAUUCGCAAGAACACCAGUGGCGAAGGCGGCUCACUGGCCCGGUACUGACGCUGAGGUGCGAAAGCGUGGGGAGCAAACAGG
rnacentral:rRNA from 1 species